rnacentral:rRNA from 1 species
UACGGAGGAUGCGAGCGUUAUCCGGAAUUAUUGGGUUUAAAGGGUGCGUAGGCGGGAUGCCAAGUCAGCGGUAAAAAUGCGGUGCUCAACGCCGUCGAGCCGUUGAAACUGGCGUUCUUGAGUGGGCGAGAAGUAUGCGGAAUGCGUGGUGUAGCGGUGAAAUGCAUAGAUAUCACGCAGAACUCCGAUUGCGAAGGCAGCAUACCGGCGCCCUACUGACGCUGAGGCACGAAAGCGUGGGUAUCGAACAGG